UCGAGCGAAUGGAUUAAGAGCUUGCUCUUAUGAAGUUAGCGGCGGACGGGUGAGUAACACGUGGGUAACCUGCCCAUAAGACUGGGAUAACUCCGGGAAACCGGGGCUAAUACCGGAUAACAUUUUGCACCGCAUGGUGCGAAAUUCAAAGGCGGCUUCGGCUGUCACUUAUGGAUGGACCCGCGUCGCAUUAGCUAGUUGGUGAGGUAACGGCUCACCAAGGCAACGAUGCGUAGCCGACCUGAGAGGGUGAUCGGCCACACUGGGACUGAGACACGGCCCAGACUCCUACGGGAGGCAGCAGUAGGGAAUCUUCCGCAAUGGACGAAAGUCUGACGGAGCAACGCCGCGUGAGUGAUGAAGGCUUUCGGGUCGUAAAACUCUGUUGUUAGGGAAGAACAAGUGCUAGUUGAAUAAGCUGGCACCUUGACGGUACCUAACCAGAAAGCCACGGCUAACUACGUGCCAGCAGCCGCGGUAAUACGUAGGUGGCAAGCGUUAUCCGGAAUUAUUGGGCGUAAAGCGCGCGCAGGUGGUUUCUUAAGUCUGAUGUGAAAGCCCACGGCUCAACCGUGGAGGGUCAUUGGAAACUGGGAGACUUGAGUGCAGAAGAGGAAAGUGGAAUUCCAUGUGUAGCGGUGAAAUGCGUAGAGAUAUGGAGGAACACCAGUGGCGAAGGCGACUUUCUGGUCUGUAACUGACACUGAGGCGCGAAAGCGU
rnacentral:rRNA from 1 species